CGUAGGGACCAAGCGUUGUUCGGAUUUACUGGGCGUAAAGGGCGCGUAGGCGGCAAUUCAAGUCAGCUGUGAAAUCUCCGAGCUUAACUCGGAACGGUCAGCUGAUACUGCUUUGCUAGAGUGCAGAAGGGGCAAUCGGAAUUCUUGGUGUAGCGGUGAAAUGCGUAGAUACCAAGAGGAACACCUGAGGUGAAGACGGGUUGCUGGGCUGACACUGACGCUGAGGCGCGAAAGCUAGGGUAGCAAACGGGAUUAGAUACCCCGGUAGUCCUAGCCCUAAACGAUGAAUACUUGGUGUCUGGAGUUUUUAUCCUCCGGGUGCCGUCGCUAACGUUUUAAGUAUUCCGCCUGGGGAGUACGCACGCAAGUGUG
rnacentral:rRNA from 1 species